UCCCGGUUAGCUCAAUUGGUCAGAGCGUCGGACUUUUAACACUAAGCCACCUUAGCUAAGUCUAUCCGAAGGCUGCGAGUUCGACCCUCGCAUCGGGAG
rnacentral:tRNA from 1 species